CGCCAGGGCCCAUGGAAUGCGGACCUGCAAACCCCGCCAGGGCCGGAAGGCAGCAACGGUAGCUCGCUCCGCAUCUGCCGUGGUGUCCCUGGCAUUC
rnacentral:SRP_RNA from 1 species